ACGGCCUUUAUCAUGUUGAAACACCAGGUUCCUCUACAAUCCCCAAAGUUAAGCAACGUCGAGCCUGAUCAGUACCUAGAUGGGUGACUGCUUGGGAAUACCAGAUGCU
rnacentral:rRNA from 1 species